GGCACUUUUUAAUCCAUAUCCACCUUGUGUGCAAUGUCAGUCGAUCUUCUUCAUGGAGAUCGACCAAACAUCAACCUUUAUUUUUUAACUCUUUGUCUGAAAAAUAUUAUGAAUAAACAAUUCAAAAUACAACUUUCAACAACGGAUCUCUUGGCUCUCGCAUCGAUGAAGAACGCAGCGAAAUGCGAUACGUAAUGUGAAUUGCAGAAUUCAGUGAAUCAUCGAAUCUUUGAACGCAUAUUGCGCUCUUUGGUAUUCCGAAGAGCAUGCUUGUUUGAGUAUCAGUAAACACCUCAAAGCUUUUGGAUUUUUUAAUCGAAAAGCUUUGGACUUGAGCAAUCCCAACACCAAUCUUUUUGAGAUCGGUGGCGGGUUGCUUGAAAUGCAGGUGCAGCUGGACAUUCUCCUGAGCUAAAAGCAUAUUCAUUUAGUCCCGUCAAACGGAUUAUUACUUUUGCUGCAGCUAACAUAAAGGGAGUUUGACCGUAUUGGCUGACUGAUGCAGGAUUUCACAAGGGUCGGCAACGAUUCUUGUUAAACUCGAUCUCAAAUCAAGUAAGACUACCCGCUGAACUUAAGCAUAUCAAUAAGCGGAGG
rnacentral:rRNA from 1 species